AGUGAACGCUGGCGGCAGGCCUAACACAUGCAAGUCGAACGGCAGCACAGUAAGCGCUUUCUCUUACGGGUGGCGACUGGCGGACGGGUGAGGCAUACAUCACCUUCUUCUUUUUCUUGGGUGAUAACGUAGGGCCACUUACGCUAAUACCUCAUAUGUUCUACGGGUUAAUUCAGUGGUUCUUCGCACCUUUCGCGUUUGUAUGAGCUGGUGUCGCAUUAGCUAGUUGGCGUGGUAAAGGCCCACCAAGGCGACGAUCCGUAGCUGGUCUGAGAGGAUGAUCAGCCACACUGGAACUGAGACACGGUCCAGACUCCUACGGGAGGCAGCAGUGGGGAAUAUUGGGCAAAGGGCGAAAGCCUGACGGAGCAAUGCCGCGUGAGUGAAGAAGGUCUUCGGAUUGUAAAGCCCUGUUAUUAGGAAAGAAAAGAAGUGGAAGAAAACACGGAUGUUUUGACGGUACCUAAAGAGAAAGCAACGGCUAACUACGUG
rnacentral:rRNA from 1 species